rnacentral:ncRNA from 1 species
UCAAUUUCGUCGACGAGAACGAGUACGCUGAACGGUCGUUCCCCAGAGAGCCGGCAUCCUGCUGCAAGCCGGCGUUCGAACUUCAGCCGAACAUCCUCUCCGAGAAGCGGAGCCGAACAGCCCGGAGCCUUGUGCGCUUCGUGCCGAGUAAGCCCCGCCGGCAGUCCCACGUUAUAGGGAACGCGGAUGGCAGAUAUGCAUCCGCUGCUGAGAUGCCUAUGCUGAGGCGAAGCACGGUCCAAUCAGGGACCUGUUUCCACGGCGACAGGGCGAUUAGGGUGGUAUCGCGAGUCAUGCUCGCCCCUUUA